UAUACAGCGAAACUGCGAAUGGCUCAUUAUAUAAGUUAUCGUUUAUUUGAUAGUACCUUACUACUUGGAUAACCGUGGUAAUUCUAGAGCUAAUACAUGCUAAAAACCCCGACUUCGGAAGGGGUGUAUUUAUUAGAUACAAAACCAAUGCCCUUCGGGGCUCUUUGGUGAUUCAUGAUAACUAUACGAAUCGCACGGCCUUGCGCCGGCGAUGGUUCAUUCAAAUUUCUUCCCUAUCAACUUUCGAUGUUUGGGUAUUGGCCAAACAUGGUUGCAACGGGUAACGGAGGGUUAGGGCUCGACCCCGGAGAAGGAGCCUGAGAAACGGCUACUACAUCCAAGGAAGGCAGCAGGCGCGCAAAUUACCCAAUCCCGACUCGGGGAGGUAGUGACAAUAAAUACUGAUACAGGGCCCUUUCGGGCCUUGUAAUUGGAAUGAGUACAAUUUAAAUCCCUUAACGAGGAACAAUUGGAGGGCAAGUCUGGUGCCAGCAGCCGCGGUAAUUCCAGCUCCAAUAGCGUAUAU
rnacentral:rRNA from 1 species